AAUUCUCAACCUUUCAAGCUUUGAUUAAGAAGCUUUUGAAGGGCUUGGAUUUGGGAGUUUGCUGGUUCUAGCGAAUCAGCUCUCCUUAAAUAUAUUAGCAAGAUAAUCGCUGAAUCAUCUUUGAUAUGAUAAUUAUCUAUAUCAUCGAUGAAACAGUGCCUUUCCUUCAGGGAAGGAUCUGGCUUCUAACAGUCUCUCGAGACAAUUGUUUGACAC
rnacentral:misc_RNA from 1 species